GAAGAGGGACAUGGCCAUCGAGGCGGGCAAACAGCACAGCGAUCACCCUGGACCAAUUAUAUUCUCCAGUCACGGAUAUUGACAGCUUCCUCAUUGGGACUACAGAGCAGCUCCACGGAACGCUUGAGGUGGCAGCUUCAUUAUACCAUGCAACGACUGAAGUCUUUGAGCAAUUCUUCACAUGCAGAAGCAUUUUUCCUGCAAGAUGGAUACCUCUGACAUUGGCCUCAGGGGAGCGUGUCCUCCCAAGCGGUAGAGGGAGAAGAACACCCAGUCCUUUACCUCAGCCAGAAAUUGUUCGGCCAGGAAGUUGUGUACUCAGUAAUAGAGGAGGCGGUCUUGGCAGUACAAUAGGCUAUUGAAGCACUCUGCUACUACUUAUGCGGACAGACAUUCCAUCUCAUGAUGGAUCAUGCACUCCUGUGGUGGCUGAACACCAUGAAAGACCAGAACCGGCGGAUUAUAAACUGGUACCUCAAUGCCGCUGUACAAGUUUGAGGUACUACAGUGAGUGGGACGUGAUCAUAAGAGCAUGGGAGUUCUUUUCAUGGGACGGAGGAGACCCGUCUGCACAGACUCCAGUGCCCAGCUUGAGGAGGAGAGUAUGUGAUGGAGUUUUUUACAGACCCGACACCAAGGUUAAAGGAGUACUGGAGCAGUAUUGGCCAAGAAUGCCCUGACCCCUCUGCAGCUGCUGGGCAUGCUUCCUAUCCUGUGGAGGACCUGCUUAAAAGGGAGCUCUGGCAGCUAGGUGAGCAGG